GUCUGUUUGGCGGCAUCGGAUAAAAUCGAAACGAUACAAAGAAGAUUAGCAUAGCCUUGGCUCAAUGAUGACCGGCACAAAUCAAGAAAUGGUCCAAUUUUUU
rnacentral:snRNA from 1 species